rnacentral:rRNA from 1 species
AUUGAACGCUUGCGGCAAGCCUAACACAUGCAAGUCGAACGAGUGGCGGACGGGUGAGUAAUGUCUGGGAAACUGCCUGAUGGAGGGAGAUAACUACUGGAAACGGUAGCUAUUACCGCAUACCAUCGGAUGUGCCCAGAUGGGAUUAGCUAGUAGGUGGGGUAAAGGCUCACCUAGGCGACGAUACCUAGCUGGUCUGAGCGGAUGACCAGCCACACUGGAUCUGAGACACGGUCCAGACUCCUAGGGGAGGCAGCAGGGGGGAAUAUUGGACAAUGGGCGAAAGCCUGAUGCAGCCAGGCCGGGUGUAUGAAGAAGGCCUUCGGGUUGUAAAGUACUAUCAGCGGGGAGGCGUUACCCGCAGAAGAAGCACCGGCUAACUCCGUGCCAGCAGCCGCGUAAUAC